rnacentral:rRNA from 1 species
AGUAUAAAGAGCGGCAAACUAUCGAGGUGAAUUUAACCUUUAAAGCCGGUCCCAGUUCGGAUUGUAGCGCGAAAUUCGCCUGCAAGUAGUCGGUGCGAGUCAUAUUCCGAAUCAGCAACACCCGUGUGAAUACUUUCCCGGGCCUUGUACACACCACCCGUCACACCUAGACAGUCGGCCACACCUGAAUCCGGUGGGGUAACCCACAAGAGUAUU